AGAUUGAACGCUGGCGGCAGGCCUAACACAUGCAAGUCGAGCGGUAGAGAGGUGCUUGCAUCUCUUGAGAGCGGCGGACGGGUGAGUAAUGCCUAGGAAUCUGCCUAGUGGUGGGGGAUAACGUUCGGAAACGGACGCUAAUACCGCAUACGUCCUACGGGAGAAAGCGGGGGACCUUCGGGCCUCGCGCCAUUAGAUGAGCCUAGGUCGGAUUAGCUAGUUGGUGAGGUAAAGGCUCACCAAGGCGACGAUCUGUAGCUGGUUUGAGAGGACGACCAGCCACACUGGGACUGAGACACGGCCCAGACUCCUACGGGAGGCAGCAGUGGGGGAAUUUUGGACAAGUGGGGAAACCCUGAUCCAGCC
rnacentral:rRNA from 1 species